GCCGGGCAUGGUGGCGGGUGCCUGUAAUCCCAGCCACUCGGGAGUCUGAGGCAGGAGAAUCGCUUGAACCCAGGAGGCGGAGGUUGUAGUGAGCCGGGAUUGCACCACUGCACUUCAGCCUGGGUGACAGAGCGAGAUUCUGUCUCAA
rnacentral:SRP_RNA from 1 species